rnacentral:rRNA from 1 species
GACGAACGCUGGCGGCGUGCUUAACACAUGCAAGUCGAACGGAAAGGCCUGCUUUCCCUUGUGGAUUGCGGGUACUCGAGUGGCGAACGGGUGAGUAACACGUGAGUGAUCUGCCCCCAACUUGGGUAUAAGCCUGGGAAACUGGGUCUAAUUCCCGAUAGGACUGCAGGGUGGUGCCUGUGGUGGAAAACGAUUUUCUAGUGGUUGGGGAUGAGCUCGCGGCCUAUCAGCUUGUUGGUGGGGUAAUGGCCUACCAAGGCGGGGACGGGUAGCCGGCCUGAGGGGGUGGACGGCCACAUUGGGACUGAGAUACGGCCCAGACUCCUACGGGAGGCAGCAGUGGGGAAUAUUGCACAAUGGGCGGAAGCCUGAUGCAGCGACGCCGCGUGGGGGAUGACGGCCUUCGGGUUGUAAACUCCUUUCGACCGCGAGGAAGCCACCUGGUUGGAAGGGUGGUGACGGUAGUGGUAGAAGAAGCACCGGCUAACUACGUG